rnacentral:Y_RNA from 2 species
CCCUGGUCUGAGUGCAGUGGUGUUUACAUUUCAUUGAUCACAGCCAACUACAGAGUUCCUUGUUCCUUCUCUCACACUGCUACACUUGACUAGCCUAAA